UACGUAGGGUGCGAGCGUUGCCCGGAUUUAUUGGGCGUAAAGGGCGCGGUAGGCGGCUCGGCACGUCCGUUGUGAAAUCGCCCGGCUCAACUGGGCGGGUCGGCGGAUGACGGCCGAGCGUCGGAGCAAGCUAGGGGGUAAGUGGAAUUCCCCGGGUGUAGUGGUGGGAAUGCGUAGAUAUCGGGAGGAACACCAGUGGCGAAGGCGGUUACCUGGAGCUUUGCUGACGCUGAUGCGCGAAAGCGUGGGGAGCGAGUCCGG
rnacentral:rRNA from 1 species